rnacentral:rRNA from 1 species
GAUGAACGCUGGCGGCGUGCCUAAUACAUGCAAGUCGAGCGAACAGAUCAGGAGCUUGCUCCUCUGACGUUAGCGGCGGACGGGUGAGUAACACGUGGAUAACCUCCCUAUAAGACUGGGAUAACUUCGGGAAGCCGGAGCUAAUACCGGAUAAUAUAUUGAACCGCAUGGUGCAUUAGUGAAAGACGGUUUUGCUGUCACUUAUAGAUGGAUCCGGGCCGCAUGAGCUAGUUGGUAAUGUAACGGCUUACCAAGGCAACGAUGCGUAGCCGACGUCAGGGGCUGAUCGGCCGCCCUGGAACUGGGCCGCGGACAAUGCUCCUGCGAGAGGCAGCAGUAGCGAACCUUACGCAGUAGGCGAGAACAUGACGGAGCAAGCCCAAGCGAGUGAUGGAGGUCUUCCGAUCGUAAAGCUCUGUUAUUAGGGAAGAACAACUGUGUAAGUAACCGUGCACUUAUUGACGGUAACGAAUCAAAAAGCACCGGCUAACUACGUG